rnacentral:rRNA from 1 species
CUACGGGGUGCUGCAGUGGGGAAUAUUGGACAAUGGGGGAAACCCUGAUCCAGCAAUGCCGCGUGUGUGAAGAAGGCCUGCGGGUUGUAAAGCACUUUCGGUUGGGAGGACUGCUUCUAGCACUAAUAUUGUUGGAAGUUGACGUUACCUUCAGAAGAAGCACCGGCUAACUCCGUGCCAGCAGCCGCGGUAAUACGGGUGGUGCAAGCGUUAAUCGGAAUUACCGGGCGUAAAGCGCGCGUAGGCGGCUAGAUCAGUCGGGUGUGAAAGCCCCGGGCUUAACCUGGGAACUGCAUCCGAUACUGUCUAGCUUGAGUACAGGAGAGGAGAGUGGAAUUCCACAUGUAGCGGUGAAAUGCGUAGAUAUGUGGAGGAACACCAAUGGCGAAGGCAGCUCUCUGGCCUGAUACUGACGCUGAGGUGCGAAAGCGUGGGGAGCAAACAGGAUUAGAUACCCCGGUAGUC